rnacentral:rRNA from 1 species
AUGAUCGCCAUGGCUGCGCGCUGCUUCUUCUACUUCUCCCCUAAACCCUGCCUCUCCUUCACCCCACGGUGCUCCUCCUCCUCCUCCUCCCCGCCAGCGCCAGGGGGGAAGGGAAAGGGGAAGGCGCUGAGGGAGGACUGGCGAGAGAAGUCCAAGCCCAUCCCUCCCGGAGGCGUCUACCCGGCCAAGGACAAGUGCAGCCGCUGCGGCCUCUGCGACACGUACUACAUCGCCCACGUCAACAACGCCUGCGCCUUCCUCGGGGACGGCAUGUCCCGUGUCGAGGAUCUGGAACCAGUGGUCCAUGGGAGGGGCAGGAAGGAUACCAUGGAUGAAAUGUACUACGGGGUGCAUGAGCAGCUCCUGUAUGCCAGGAAAACGGAACCUGUUCAAGGAGCUCAGUGGACAGGAAUAGUCACAACAAUCGCAGUUGAGAUGCUGAAAUCAAAUAUGGUUGAUGCCGUGGUUUGUGUACAAAGUGACCCAGACGAUAGGUUUGCCCCAAGGCCUGUUUUAGCCAGGACACCAGAAGAAGUGAUUGCAGCCAGAGGUGUCAAGCCGACAUUAUCACCUAAUCUCGAUACACUAGCCUUAGUGGAGGCAGCUGGUGUAAAGCGUCUUCUCUUUUGUGGUGUCGGCUGUCAAGUGCAAGCUUUGAGAUCUGUAGAGAAGUACCUUGGCUUGGAAAAGCUUUAUGUGCUUGGCACAAACUGUGUGGACAAUGGUACUCGUGAAGGACUUGAUAAAUUUUUGAAUGCUGCAAGCAGUGAACCAGAAACUGUUCUACAUUACGAAUUUAUGCAAGACUACAAGGUUCACUUAAAGCAUUUGGAUGGGCAUAUAGAAGAGGUCCCGUAUUUUUCCCUGCCAGCCAAUGAUUUGGUUGAUGUCAUUGCACCAUCAUGCUACAGCUGCUUUGACUACACAAAUGGCUUGGCGGAUUUAGUGGUGGGCUAUAUGGGAGUACCGAAAUAUUCGGGCGUUUCUAUGACUCAGCACCCUCAGUAUAUUACAGUCAGGAACGAGCGAGGGAGGGAGAUGCUCAGCCUGAUAGAGGGCCUUUUGGAGAGCACGCCAACAGUUAGCAGUGGUGCUAGACAACCAUUCGUGAUGGAGACAGUGAAAGCCGAUGAUGCAGCGAAAAUGGGAAAAGGCCCUUCUAAUCCAGCUCCCAUAUUUGUGGGCAACAUCAUCGCCUUCCUGCUAAACCUGAUUGGGCCCAAGGGCCUGGAGUUUGGUCGCUACUCUCUGGAUUACCACACGAUAAGGAACUACCUGUAUGUGAACCGGGCAUGGGGAAGGGCAAGAGCGGAGCAGCAUAUGCCAUCGUAUGCCAAGAAAAUCGUGGAGGCCUACAACAAGGACGGACGCAUCGACUCCAUGCUUGAGCAGAAUAAACAGUGA